CCCCCCCCAACUUCCCAUGUUGUUGGUUAGGUCCUCGCGAUCACAUGCGCGCAGAGGCGUGUCAUCUCGGAAUUAAGCAAGCCCCCUGACUGGAACGGCUCGGGGCGCUGUAGCCUUUCGUCGGGGGAUCGUUGUUGGUGUCGUGUCAUAAUUGUCCCCCCCGGUCUUUAGCAAUGCCCUGUGUAGGGCUGCUAUAUCCCUUUUGUAGGCGGUUCUCCCCGUCUUAAAAGAUGGCGGCAUGCUAAUGGCAUGAUGAUUAGCCAUUAAUACAUGAUUGCGAGGCUCCAACCGCACCGCUUCUAGCUCUCCGGGGCGCAUUGUGUUAUCCACUGCGUAAUUCUUGGGUGAGGUAGCAAUAGGAAGAUCAGUACUCUACAUGCGGAUCACUGCACCAGUCUAUCUGGUGGUAACAUAUCGGCGCCAUGUGGUGGUAGCUUGGUCUCGGCCGUUGCUCUCGUGGAAGUAAUUGUUGAUGUGGGACUUGACAGGGCACUGAUAACCAGCCAAUCAUGGACUUGUUGUACCUCGCGCCAUUAAGCCGGCCCGGCCGCUCCCCGCCCAUGAAGAUCUCACGUGGAUGGGAUCCACUGUCACUGUUGGAUCCCAAGGUACGCGCCCCUCGCUCGCUCGCAGCCAAUCAAGCUGCUCGUCCGAAUGGGUGCACGGCCCCCCGUGGCCGUGCCCCUGCCGAGACGCCGGCUGACCGACGGCGUGCACGUCUUCUUUUUUCACCGUGGUCUGGUCGCUCCCUGGCGCGGCCCGGUGAUUCUACCCCGGCGAGCGGGCGCGGCGAGCCGAGGGCUACUCCGCGCCUCGCGCCAUGCCGGGGGUGGUCAUGUGCCGGUCACAUGGGCCGGGGGAGCUGCUGGCUGGCUGGCUGGCACGCGUCGGCGCCGUCGCUCUCCGGCCCUGGUGCUGCUGAGGGCGACGGCCGGGGGAGCGCUGGGGGGCCGCGGUGAUUCGAAUUUAAUUGUUUCCCGGCGCGGGCCCCCUGGCGCGACUGGACGGAUCGGGGUUCGGGGCCGUCGCUGUCGCGGCCAGCGAGAUGGGUCGCCGCGCUCGCUGGACGGGACGGAUACGCGCGGAGUGGGACUCCGGACAUCGUCCCUGUCCCGCUUCUGGUGGCACGGCCGUGGGAUGGCGCCGGGCUCUCCGCCCUCCCCGUCAUCAUUGCUUCCUCCUGUCCGUACGCGCUUGGCAGCACCCACUUCAUCCAUCCAUGGUGGACGAGGCCCGUAUUAUCCGUAUGGGUGACUACAUGUUCGUACCAUACGCGAUACCGAUCGACCCCUUUAAGUCUCGUUGUGCAAGGCUGGCUGGUUAUGUACGAUGGAAUGGAUGGGUCCUCGGCAUCGAUCACCCUGUGCUGUUGUUCCGAUGGCGAGAUGGCUGUAACAUCCGGCGACUGCCAGGUGCCCAAGAACAUGUAGGCCUCGUGGCAACCAACAGUCCGAUGAUCCGACGCGGGAUGAUUGGUGACAAGCAAUGCGGACAGGUAAGUGGGAAGAGUUAAGGGCGCACAGCGGACCGCGCCGUGCAUGAACGCAACCCGCCUUUCGGAUCAGUGAAAAGGAAUGUCUCGGGGAAUCGCGCUAUUGAGCCACCUGCAAUGUUCGCGUCCCAAUAGUUACCUGACAGUGUCCGCGCGCGCUCCUUACUUGACCCCUGUUUAAAGGUGAGGUGAUCGGUACUAUGCGAGAUGAUGUCUGGACUCACUCUCUCUUCUUUGGGAUCUGGACCACAUGGGGAUGGGCUGGCCAUGUUUGGCACAGUGAAAGUCGGAUGCGGCGGAACAGCCUAGCCCAGGCCAUGGAUCUUGCCCUUGUACUCGCCACACGGCAGCAUAGGAUCCAUCCAUGCGCGCACAGUGCGCGUCGAUCACUCGAUCAGCUGCAAGAUGUGUACGUGUGGCGUAGGAUGCGGUGCGAGACGAGGUACCAUGGAUGGACCUGGGAUACAGUACGACGUAGUACGAGUGUAAACCUAGCUAGCGGCAUCAAUGGGUGUGUACAUAGUAGUGUAUCCGGCGAGACCUACCCGUGUGUACGGACACUCCCACGUGACGAGCUUGUGCUUCCGAGAAUCCGAGCACAGUGCGCGUGGCUGGCAGGUAGCCUUGUCGUGACAGUGGGUGAGGAACCUUCUGCAGUUGCUAGCAGGCAGCCAGGCAGGAAGCAGACCUCCGGCGAGGGCUUGUACAAUACGAGGCUUCCGGUGGGGUGCAGUGCCUUGUGUCCGCAGGAGCCCAUCCAUCAUCUACCCUCAACGUCACAUCAAGAGUAUAUAUAUAUGCACUCCCUCCGUCCCUUAAUAUUUAUCAGCAUGGAAUGGGAAGCAUGCUAUUCAAACCUUUUUAAUAAAUUUAUUAUAAAAAUAGAUUUAACGAUCUAUAUAAUGAUACUAAUUAUGUACCAUAAAUAUUAAUAAUUAUAUAUAUAUUUGGUCAAAGUUAAUUACGUUUGAGAAUGACCGAUAAAAAGGGACAGGGAGUCAUGGUGUCUCGUGCGGAAGAAACUUUUGUUUCCAUGGCGGAUUGCCACGGCUCCCGCCGGCGAUGACCCUGCUUGUCCGAAGCAAACACCACUUGCACACCGUGCAUUGUACGUGCGCCUUUGGCGGCGUCGUAUGGAGAUGGCGUGGUCGACAUUGGCGUCCGGUCGCCGAAGCUCGCUCGCUGAGCUCCCCGGAGUCUCGCCGAAUUGAAUUCGCUACAGCUAAGGCGUUGAUGUCCCGGAAAACGACGGUAGAAUCGGCGAUCCUUCCCGGCCGUGGCCACGGAAAGCGAUCCGCCGAGAGAUGGGAACAAGGGGAGCGGAGCGCCACUCUCUCCGGAGAGAUCGUUUUCCCGUGGGCGUCCUGCGAGGGUCUACAGCCAUAACGCCGUCGAUAGCUAGGGGAGCGUCAAUGCGUGAUGUGUGGGUGACCUCUCUGCUGUGGUCAAGCUUCGUGCAGGUUCAGUUUCAGCACACGUUUAGUGUACUCAACGACGUACCCGAAUAGGAUGUGCUUUAGAGUCCGCUUGUGUUGCAAGCACGGGGAAUUAUUUCCCACAUGCUUAGCAUGCCAUUAGGGGGGGUACCAACAGCUUUUCCUUGAGGGAUUUAUAGAAGGAAAAAAGAAGGUUAAUGACCCUCUUGGUCUUGAACAACCCAUUCUCUCCCCCACGAUGAAAUCUACCAGAAGACUGCUACACUUAUGCAAGUGCUAUUGUACAAGGAGGGCAUGCUACGGCGUUGGUGUGGUGGAAGUUGGAGUUUUAAUCACUAUAUUUCGGGAUGGGGAGGUGUUUUAUAAAGAUGUUGGUUUGCUUGAGCAAUCCGGAAAGGCUUGGCGUUCAUGGUUGGCUGGAGAAAGCUUGACAUCUACAUUUCAAUUCUGAAAUUGUCAAUUAAAGUCGGGAUAGAGACAGACUAGCAGUUCGGACCAGUAUACUUCAAUCCUGCAAGAUACUUUACAAAAGCUGUAUUCGGUGAUGGAGAAUCAAUCUUCAUAUUCGUUUGUUAUAGUGAUGCAGCCCGAAGAUUAUAAACAAAUUGAUAUGAAUAAUUGUUUAUGUUUUCUUUGAGGCGAGGAAAACUAUCUUGGAAACUC